GCGCAAGCCAGUGUGAGGCGCGCAGCUGCGGGCGGAAAAGCGGAGGAACUCUGCUCGCUUCUCGGGAAUGGUAGCGAUGCUUUGUCAUUUGGAAGACCGGAGCCGCCCGCUCUUUCGCGGUCCUCGAGGGUUUUGGAGCAUCUUUAUCGCUCUGGAUCCCUGGCCCGGAGGAGCCUGGCUGACCCUGCUUCCAGGCUGGAUUCCUGAGGUGAAACUGGACUCCUCGCUCCUGAGUGGAUUCUGACUUCUGUGCGCGAGGAGCCCGGUCAGUUCUCCCUUACGUGGGACAGGUGUCGCCCGGCACACUUGUUCCGCACAGGCUCCUUCCCAGGAAGCGCAGACUCAGGUGUUUUCUCCUGAGGAUACUUCCCAGUAUCCUAUCAUGAGUCUCCAUUUCAGAUCUGUUUCUAGUAAACUCAACCUAAGAAGAUGAAUACCAGAAAUGGUUCUAGGAAGUAGACUCUACAAGAAAGUUUUGAGCUGAAUCACCUCCUGCUGGAUGGUAGGAAAACCUAAGGUCAGUGUCUGAAUGAGAAACUGAACGUGUAUAUCAACUACCAUAUUGCCAUCCUUCAACUCUCCCAGGCGAAUAUUUCUGAAGGCUAUUGCUCAAUCUAGCCAGCUGACAAGCACAGGAGCAUCACAGGAGGCAAGAAGAUUCUAAAAGCGAUGGAACAGGGAUUAAACAGGAGAUAACCAUGACAACACCAAGGCAAGAACAUGGAAGAAACAGAAAACUUCUGGCUUCUUUAGGAAGGGUAAGAUGAGAAUGCAGUCCUAAAACCCUCUUGGGAUUUCAGGCAAGACAUCAAUAACUAUAAAAUCAUCACAAACAGAGAAGGGAAGAGUACACAAGAGGAAUCAUUGGGCCAAGAGGAAUCAUUCUAUCAAUAUAUCCUAGUAACAAUGACUGUUACCAUAAAGACAAAAACGUGUGCUGUGAGGACAUGGAGAAGGGGGACUCUCCUACACCACUGGAAAAACUUCAGAGCAUGCAUGUGAAUUCAAGACAAAGCUAUGCUCCAUGAUGUCAUCUCAUUUUCCAACACACUGCUCUGGCUACAUUUCCACCUCUCAGAGCACUGGAGGAGAGUAUUGCUCUGCUGGUCUGUAUCUAUUUCUAAUAAAUAAGGUACCUGUCUCCUGGAUGAAAUAUUGCCAGACUACAAGAGAUUAUACUAUUGUGAAUUUUCUGCUUAAGAUUGUGUUUAUAAAUGUGCUAA